AGCGUACACGGUGGAUGCCCUGGCAGUCAGAGGCGAUGAAGGACGUGCUAAUCUGCGAAAAGCGCCGGCGAGGUGAUAUGAACCUUUGACCCGGCGAUGUCCGAAUGGGGAAACCCAGUGCAAUCCGUUGCACUAUCGUUAACUGAAUACAUAGGUUAACGAGGCGAACCGGGGGAACUGAAACAUCUAAGUACCCCGAGGAAAAGAAAUCAACCGAGAUUCCCCCAGUAGCGGCGAGCGAACGGGGAGCAGCCCGGAGUCUGAAUCAGCUUGUGUGUUAGUGGAACGGUCUGGAAAGUCCGACGGUACAGGGUGAUAGUCCCGUACACGAAAGCACACUUGCUGUGAACUCGAAGAGUAGGGCGGGACACGUGGUAUCCUGUCUGAAUAUGGGGGGACCAUCCUCCAAGGCUAAAUACUCCUGACUGACCGAUAGUGAACCAGUACCGUGAGGGAAAGGCGAAAAGAACCCCGGCGAGGGGAGUGAAAAAGAACCUGAAACCGUGUACGUACAAGCAGUGGGAGCCUCUUUAUGGGGUGACUGCGUACCUUUUGUAUAAUGGGUCAGCGACUUAUAUUCUGUAGCAAGGUUAACCGUAUAGGGGAGCCGAAGGGAAACCGAGUCUUAACUGGGCGUUAAGUUGCAGGGUAUAGACCCGAAACCCGGUGAUCUAGCCAUGGGCAGGUUGAAGGUUGGGUAACACUAACUGGAGGACCGAACCGACUAAUGUUGAAAAAUUAGCGGAUGACCUGUGGCUGGGGGUGAAAGGCCAAUCAAACCGGGAGAUAGCUGGUUCUCCCCGAAAGCUAUUUAGGUAGCGCCUCGUGAACUCAUCUUCGGGGGUAGAGCACUGUUUCGGCUAGGGGGCCAUCCCGGCUUACCAACCCGAUGCAAACUACGAAUACCGAAGAAUGUUAUCACGGGAGACACACGGCGGGUGCUAACGUCCGUCGUGAAGAGGGAAACAACCCAGACCGCCAGCUAAGGUCCCAAAGUCAUGGUUAAGUGGGAAACGAUGUGGGAAGGCACAGACAGCCAGGAUGUUGGCUUAGAAGCAGCCAUCAUUUAAAGAAAGCGUAAUAGCUCACUGGUCGAGUCGGCCUGCGCGGAAGAUGUAACGGGGCUAAACCAUGCACCGAAGCUGCGGCAGCGACGCUUAUGCGUUGUUGGGUAGGGGAGCGUUCUGUAAGCCGUUGAAGGUGUCCUGUGAGGGGUGCUGGAGGUAUCAGAAGUGCGAAUGCUGACAUAAGUAACGAUAAAGCGGGUGAAAAGCCCGCUCGCCGGAAGACCAAGGGUUCCUGUCCAACGUUAAUCGGGGCAGGGUGAGUCGACCCCUAAGGCGAGGCCGAAAGGCGUAGUCGAUGGGAAACAGGUUAAUAUUCCUGUACUUGGUGUUACUGCGAAGGGGGGACGGAGAAGGCUAUGUCAGCCGGGCGACGGUUGUCCCGGUUUAAGCAUGUAGGCGGAGGUUCCAGGUAAAUCCGGUACCUUAUUAACGCUGAGGUGUGAUGACGAGGCACUACGGUGCUGAAGUGAUAAAUGCCCUGCUUCCAGGAAAAGCCUCUAAGCAUCAGGUAACACGAAAUCGUACCCCAAACCGACACAGGUGGUCAGGUAGAGAAUACCAAGGCGCUUGAGAGAACUCGGGUGAAGGAACUAGGCAAAAUGGUGCCGUAACUUCGGGAGAAGGCACGCUGAUAUGUAGGUGAAGUCCCUGCGGACGGAGCUGAAAUCAGUCGAAGAUACCAGCUGGCUGCAACUGUUUAUUAAAAACACAGCACUGUGCAAACACGAAAGUGGACGUAUACGGUGUGACGCCUGCCCGGUGCCGGAAGGUUAAUUGAUGGGGUUAGCGGCAACGCGAAGCUCUUGAUCGAAGCCCCGGUAAACGGCGGCCGUAACUAUAACGGUCCUAAGGUAGCGAAAUUCCUUGUCGGGUAAGUUCCGACCUGCACGAAUGGCGUAAUGAUGGCCAGGCUGUCUCCACCCGAGACUCAGUGAAAUUGAACUCGCUGUGAAGAUGCAGUGUACCCGCGGCAAGACGGAAAGACCCCGUGAACCUUUACUAUAGCUUGACACUGAACACUGGUCCUUGAUGUGUAGGAUAGGUGGGAGGCUUUGAAGCGUGGACGCCAGUCUGCGUGGAGCCAACCUUGAAAUACCACCCUUUAAUGGCUGGUGUUCUAACGUAGACCCGUAAUCCGGGUUGCGGACAGUGUCUGGUGGGUAGUUUGACUGGGGCGGUCUCCUCCCAAAGAGUAACGGAGGAGCACGAAGGUUGGCUAAUCCUGGUCGGACAUCAGGAGGUUAGUGCAAUGGCAUAAGCCAGCUUGACUGCGAGCGUGACGGCGCGAGCAGGUGCGAAAGCAGGUCAUAGUGAUCCGGUGGUUCUGAAUGGAAGGGCCAUCGCUCAACGGAUAAAAGGUACUCCGGGGAUAACAGGCUGAUACCGCCCAAGAGUUCAUAUCGACGGCGGUGUUUGGCACCUCGAUGUCGGCUCAUCACAUCCUGGGGCUGAAGUAGGUCCCAAGGGUAUGGCUGUUCGCCAUUUAAAGUGGUACGCGAGCUGGGUUUAGAACGUCGUGAGACAGUUCGGUCCCUAUCUGCCGUGGGCGCUGGAGAAUUGAGGGGGGCUGCUCCUAGUACGAGAGGACCGGAGUGGACGCAUCACUGGUGUUCGGGUUGUCAUGCCAAUGGCACUGCCCGGUAGCUAAAUGCGGAAGAGAUAAGUGCUGAAAGCAUCUAAGCACGAAACUUGCCCCGAGAUGAGUUCU
rnacentral:rRNA from 1 species